CAGUAGCCGCGGUAAUACGGAGGGAGCUAGCGUUGUUCGGAAUUACUGGGCGUAAAGCGCGCGUAGGUGGUGGUUUAAGUCCGUUGUGAAAGCCCUGGGCUCAACCUGGGAAUUGCAGUGGAUACUGGGUCACUAGAGUGUGGUAGAGGAUAGUGGAAUUUCCGGUGUAGCAGUGAAAUGCGUAGAGAUCGGAAGGAACAUCUGUGGCGAAGGCGACUAUCUGGGCCAACACUGACACUGAGGCACGAAAGCGUGGGGAGCAAACAGGAUUAGAUACCCCAGUAGUCCCUGUCUCUUAUAC
rnacentral:rRNA from 1 species